rnacentral:rRNA from 1 species
CGGAGUUGCUAGUAAUCGCGGAUCAGCAUGCCGCGGUGAAUGCGUUCCCGGGCCUUGUACACACCGCCCGUCACACCAUGGAAGUUGGGGGCGCCCGAAGCCAGUGGCCUAACCGCAAGGAGGGAGCUGUCUAAGGUGAAACCAAUGACUGGGGUGAAGUCGUAACAAGGUAAC